ensembl:snoRNA
AGCGAGGCUAGAGUCACGCCUGGACACUGACCUGUUGUCCAGGUGUGCUAGAGCGCUCGUAGAGGAAAACAUCUCUGCAUAUUCAUUGGCUGUAGCCUCAUGUGGUCCAGCCAAUCACCGGCUCAGAAACACCU